rfam:Coniochaeta ligniaria NRRL 30616 unplaced genomic scaffold CONLIGscaffold_20, whole genome shotgun sequence.
GGAUUAGUAGUCGAGUUGGUUAAGACUUAGCUCUUUCAAUACUAUAAUCGUAGGUUCGAACCCCGCCUAGUCUA